CGUUACUAACGUUUCAAAGCGGCGUCCACUUGCACUUAGGAGUUUGCGAGUCGAACUCUAAAAUUUGAUUUUGUAGUCGCGCUGAACACGCUUUUCAAAUCUUCCGCUGUCGUCUAGGGUGGCGUUAUGGGCUGCGUCUCAAAUUGCAAUCGAAAACUCUGACCUUUCGUUCAAAUGUAUUUACUAAUCUAGAAAAUCCAGAAGGCGGAUAUGCAAACAGACCUUGGUUGGUUUGAAGGCCACAUGAGAGGCUUUUUAUAAUUCUAACAAUAAGUGUAAUAGGAACACUGGUUCAUAUUGAAUAAGUGUCUUGAAUAAUACAUAAAUAUGCGAUGUGAGGCACAACACAAAUUUGUUUAGCAGAGGUAGAUGGGUGGGGGCUAACAGCUAACAGCCCCCCCGAAAACGACUUGAAUUUGCAAUUGCAAACUUGCAAUUGCAAGAACUGGUCUUUCGCCGACAUGAGACGUUUUAACUGUGCUCAUGUUUGACGCACGUGUAUCGAAGACGGCUUUGACUGAUUGCGUGUUGUGGUGAUGUCACAUGACUCGUCUCGGCCCGAAUCUGCGGAAAAUCUGGUAAUUUUGGAAAAAUUGCAUGAUCCUCGUAUCGCGGAGUUUGCUGAAUGUGACCCCUAGUAGCAUUUCAAAAUAUUAGCACACACAAUCUGUCUGAUUUAUAAUAUUAAUUUGUAAAAUAAUUGAACAAAUCAAUAGAGGCCAAUGUGAGUUUCUCUCACGACCCCAUUUGUAAAUGAAGCAACCUCACAACCCCUAGUUUGGGAACCCCUGACUCGGCACAAUCCUUUUGCAUAAAGGGCUAUUGCUUUGUUUAAGAUUUAAAUAUGUUCUUGACUUUUUUUUUUUUUUUUUUUUUUUUGGUCUCAGGUUGUUGAAAAGGAUCUGCCAAAAUACUUGUAGCCAAUGUGGAUAAUCUCACCAUCCUGACUUGCUGACUCGCUGCCUACGCUCCUGUAGCCUGCUGGGUAUUUUCAGUUCUUACGAGUUGCGAAUCGAUUCUUUUGGAACGGAAUCGGUUCCUUCCACAAAUCGUCCAUCGCUACAAUCCGAGCUUUAUCACACCUCCACCACCACCGCAAUGACCAGGCCUCCGUUAUCACCGUCCACAUCACCGUAAAGACACGACGCUAUUCUCCCGGAUCCGAUGGAGGGAGCAGUGAGGGUGGCCGAGGCCGGAGGGAGCUCAUCCUCAGCCGGGGCCGCUGUGGCGGAGGACACGGAGACCGUCAUUGGAGUCGGAUACGGGAUAGAAG
ensembl:lncRNA